rnacentral:tRNA from 2 species
AAUUGAUAAGUAUAUUAGUACAUUUGACUUCCAAUCAAAAAGAUUGAUCUUUCAAAUCAAUUA